GAUGAACGCUGGCGGCGUGCCUAAUACAUGCAAGUCGAGCGAACAGACGAGGAGCUUGCUCCUCUGACGUUAGCGGCGGACGGGUGAGUAACACGUGGAUAACCUACCUAUAAGACUGGGAUAACUUCGGGAAACCGGAGCUAAUACCGGAUAAUAUAUUGAACCGCAUGGUUCAAUAGUGAAAGACGGUUUUGCUGUCACUUAUAGAUGGAUCCGCGCCGCAUUAGCUAGUUGGUAAGGUAACGGCUUACCAAGGCAACGAUGCGUAGCCGACCUGAGAGGGUGAUCGCCCACACUGGAACUGGGACACGGUCCAGACUCCUACGGGAGGAAGCAGUAGGGAAUCUUCCGCAAUGGGCGAAAGCCUGACGGAGCAACGCCGCGUGAGUGAUGAAGGUCUUCGGAUCGUAAAACUCUGUUAUUAGGGAAGAACAAAUGUGUAAGUAACUAUGCACGUCUUGACGGUACCUAAUCAGAAAGCCACGGCUAACUACGUG
rnacentral:rRNA from 1 species